AAAGACUUGACGGUACUUCACACCAGCCUAGAGGAGCCUGUCUAACAACCGAUACCCCACGAUCAACCCCACCCGCUUUAGCCCUACAGUCUAUAUACCGCCGUCGCCAGCUUACCUUGCAAAAGCAAUAAAGUGAGCACAACAGAAACCCUCUAACACGACAGGUCGAGGUGUAGCUCAUAAACGGGUAAAGAUGGGCUACAUUUUCUACAAUAGAACAUACGAAUAAACCAUGAAAUUAGAAACUGAAGGAGGAUUUAGCAGUAUGUUAAGAAUAGAACACUCAACAGAAACUAACGCAAUGAAGUGCGUACACACCGCCCGUCAUCCCUG
rnacentral:rRNA from 1 species